GUCUCUCGCUCGCUCGCUCUUUCUCGCUUGCUUUCUCUCCUGGCCUCAUGCGUUUCCCCCCCCUCGCGGCGCUCGCCCGCUCUCCCUCGCUCUCGCUCUGUCUUUUUUGGGCGCCAUGCUGAGGGGAAGCCCAUCGCAGCCUGCUUCCAGUUCAAGGAAAUAAACAGAUUAGCAAAGGUCUGUGCGUUAAGCCCACGUUGGGCUUCCGGGCCCUCUCUUGGGGGCAGGUGCAUUACUCAAAGGUGCUUACACGCUUUAUUCGACCUCUAAGGAGUUCUCUUAUGUCAGAAGUGUAUGUCUUACAAUGGGUUGGGAUGG